rnacentral:rRNA from 1 species
CUACGGGGCGCACCAGUGGGGAAUAUUGGACAAUGGGCGAAAGCCUGAUCCAGCAAUGCCGCGUGUGCGAUGAAGGCCUGAGGGUUGUAAAGCACUUUCGUUGGGAAAGAAAUGCUCAAAGCUAAUACCUUUGAGAGUUGACGUUACCCAAAGAAGAAGCACCGGCUAACUCUGUGCCAGCAGCCGCGGUAAUACAGAGGGUGCAAGCGUUAAUCGGAGUUACUGGGCGUAAAGGGCGCGUAGGCGGAUACUUAAGUCGGAUGUGAAAUCCCUGGGCUCAACCUAGGAACUGCGUUCGAUACUAAGUGCCUAGAGUAUGGUAGAGGAAAGUGGAAUUCCCGGUGUAGUGGUAAAAUACGUAGAUAUCGGGAGGAACAUCAGUGGCGAAGGCGACUUUCUGGGCCAAUACUGACGCUGAGGCGCGAAAGCGUGGGGAGCAAACAGGAUUAGAUACCCUGGUAGUC